UACGUAGGGUGCGAGCGUUGCCCGGAUUUAUUGGGCGUAAAGAGCGUGUAGGCGGCUUUACAGGUCCGUUGUGAAAACUCGAGGCUCAACCUCGAGACGCCGGUGGAAACCGUAAAGCUAGAGUCCGGAAGAGGAGAGUGGAAUUCCUGGUGUAGCGGUGAAAUGCGCAGAUAUCAGGAAGAACACCCGUGGCGAAGGCGGCUCUCUGGGACGGUACUGACGCUGAGACGCGAAAGCGUGGGGAGCGAACAGG
rnacentral:rRNA from 1 species